UUAUUGAUUUCAUAUUGCUUGCUGUCCAUAUUUUUUUAUAUAUAUAUGUAUUAUAUUUUAUUCAUACAUUUGUUUCUUUUAAAUCCCAUUUUAAAGUAUACCUCGGUCUUCAAAAUAUUUUCUUAUGUUAUUUUGCAUAUAUAUUCAAUUUAAAUUAUGCCUUUUUACUUUAUAUGCAUAUCUUCUGAUCCUGUUAUGAUUUAGUCGUAUUAUAUUGUUGCAUUAGAUUAUUGUUAUAUAUUUCACAAUGGCAUACCUGUUUCCUUAUAUGGUAUAACGACUCAAAUUUAAACUCACUUAAGCUAGCUCUUAGUUUUUUCGUUUUUUUCAAAAAAUAAAUUAAAUAAAUACAUUUUUUAAUUGACUUUAGAUCGUUUUCGAAAGUCUUAUAAAACAAGGCAAUGUUUCGCGUUUGGAAGUCCGAAAGAGUCAUGCCCUAACGUACUGGGUUGUGGUUUUUUUCGGUCAUCUAAAUGUUUAAAUAUCCUUCUAGUCUCAGGUUUCGGAAAAUUAAGGGACUAUUUGGGUCUUGAGGGUUAAAAUGUUGCAUCCUAACGUGUUCGGUGUGACAUUUUGUCCUUUUGGAACAAAUAAGCCUUAAUAUCCCAAAACGAACCGUUCAAAUAUUUUCUAAAAGAAUUAUAUUUUAAAAUCUCUUAAAAUUUUCAACAAUAAGGACAUUAUUAAUCAAUUUGGUACUGAUUUUGGGCGUUACGAGGGUGCUAAUCCUUCCUCGUACGUAAUUGAUUCCCAAACCUGUUUUCUUAACAUUCGUAGACCAAAAUGUUUUAUAAGGUGACCCAAUUACACCUCAAAAAGGAUUGGUGGCGACUCCAUCCAUGUUUUUAAAGUCGAUCCACGUUUUAAAAUUAAAAAUGCUUUUGACAACUUGGCGACUCCACUAGGGACCUUAACAGAGAGUCAAGCCGUAAAAUUGAUUAAUUUCUGUCCUUUUAUCGAAAAUGGAAAUUGUGUUUUGAAAUUAUUUUUUCUUCCGUCACAUUUGUUAGUAUCAUUUUUAUUUUCUCUUAUAUUAUUCCUGCAUCAUACUGCAUGUCCGUUGUGGUCGCACCCUUAAGUGGGAGUGAGAAGCUAUGCCUUCGUGAGGUUUUCACCUCUGCAUGGGCUAGUGGAUCGCCUCCGGGAUAUAUCCGUACCUAUGGUUUCGUGAGUUUUUCACCUCCGCAUGGUCAUAGGGAAAUGUAUCCCCCUGAACUGAACUUGAUCCAUAUGAACCUAUAAUGGGUGAGGAUCAAGGAACCUGCUGGUUCAGGUACCCUUUCCUUAGAACUGAACCGCAUAUAGUAACCUUUAGGGACCUACCCUAAGUAGAGCCAUGCCAAAUUCUAGUGAUUACCCAAAUAGGUUUUUGAUUAUUUCUUGCUUGCUUUGAUUUUUAUUAUUUGAUACUAACUUAUUGUGUUUUAUUUUUGCCAUGAUUGCAUGUCAUUUCAUAUCUAGGAAGGUGUCAAUACCUGUUCGAUUACUAAGUUAGAGAGCUUGUCAUGGAGAGUGGACUUCUUGAUAAAGUGGGGGAUAACGCGGUUGUCCGUGCAUGGUCAGAGAAUGCUCAGCUCGAGAAAGGGGAUAGCCUGGCCGAGGGGUAUGCGUCGGAGUUGUGGGACUUCACCCGUAUUAGUGUGACACAGAAUGAGCUCCAAGAAUUGAGGGAUAUAUGGGCCCGCUGGAAUGACGAGACCAAGAAAUUAUUCUACUACAACUACGGUGAUCUGCCUUACCUGCUCGACAUUAAGGUAGACAAGUACUUGUUUCGAGCUAUGACUCAGUUCUGGAACCCCGCAUAUAGUUGUUUCACCUUCGGGAAAGUGGACUUGGUGCCAACCGUGGAGGAGUAUUCAGCCCUGUUACGUUGUCCAAGGUUUCAAACGGACAGAGUGUAUGUUAAGGUCCCCAAUGUACCAAGUUUUGUAAAGAAGCUAAUGAACGUCACUGGGAUGAGUGAGCAGCGGGUUACAGCCCGGAUUAAACAAAAAGGUGAGGGGAAAUGCAUUCAUUGGGUGAACUUGAGAGACUUGAUCCUGGCACAUCCAGAUGCAAAAAAAAGGUUGACGUUUUCGCCUUGAGUAUUUAUGGGUUAGUGAUAUUUCCUAAAGCGUUACGACAUAUCGACGAAGCAGUCACUGAUUUAUUUGAUCGACUUGUCAAGUGGGCUACACCGGUACCAGCAAUUCUAGCAGAGACAUUCAGAUCUUUAAAUGUGUGUCGAAGGGUAGGUGAACGAAUAUUCGUGGGAUGCGCGUAAUUAUUAUUGGUUUGGUUCCAUGGCCACUUUUGGAAAGUUCACAGAAGGCUGAAUCGAGCUUUUUUUAAAAAAUUAUUCCCCUUUGAAAGAGAUAACAGCUACGCCCAUGAGGGACGACAUAUCAAAAGAAAGGUGGAUGACAAUUCUCCAAAAUCUCCAAGAAAAAGACGUGGAAUGGAAGGCCCCUUGGAUGGUUCCCGAUGAAGUCCUCUACCGGUGCGGAAAUUUUGAUUGGGCACUUCUGCUUGGAGUUUGGGAAACUGUUGGGUAUGCCCCUUUACUGGUGUUAAGGCAGUAUGAGUUAGAGCAAUUUGUACCUGCGACACAUGGGUUAGCUCAUAGUGAAUUUUUGUAUAAAUGGGAUAAUUAUAAGAAGAGAUUUCGAGAAAUCGCCAAUGCCUGGAAACAGACACACCGAAUGAAGAAGUUGAUUGGAUGCCCAAUGACGACUCCUGAGUACAGUAGGUGGUUGAGUAAGAGGAUCAAUGAUAAUAUUCUGAGGCCAAGUCUAGAAGACGUCCAAUCGAUGGAAGAACACUUACGAAUAAUUCCUUCCGAGCUGGAAAUUAUAAAACAAGAGUUCAAAAGGAGAAAUUCAGAGUUAGGAAAGAAGAUAGAACAGUUGGAGGAAGAGAAGAUGCAUCUAAGGUUAGAUAUCGAUGUUUAGAAACUUGAGGCUGAGAAACUGCAAAAGGGGAAAAGAAAAGCUGAGGAGGACUUGGAGCUUUGAAGACCGAUUACCGCAGCUACAUAAGUCAAUGAGAAAUGCUAGACUGGGAAAGAUGUCAGAGCAAUGGCGACAAGAGGUCCAAGAGGAAAGGUCUAAAGCCGAACAAUGGGAAAAAAGAUUUCAUGAUACUUGUGCACGAGAGAGCAUCUUAAAAAAGAGUUUGGUUGAAAGCCAGAAUGAAAAAGAAAUGUUAAGAGCUCGAGUAGAGGAGUUAGAGAUGGCGCUUCAUCAAUCUCGUAGUCGCAACUCUGCAAUAGAGCUGAAGGCAAGCUUAAAUAGGAUCGAGGAUUUGAGAGGGAAGAUAGAAUAACUUGAGACCAUACUUCAGAAUCGUGAACUUCAAAUUCAACUUCUUGAGUCAGAUAAUGAGCAUUGAAAAGAGCUACUACAUAGAUUUCAGAACCAGGUCAAGGACAAAGAUCACAUCAUGGGUGAGGCCGUGGCUCAGAUUCGAAAGGUAGCGGAGCAUUUGCAAACUCUAGCAGUUCAAGCUGACGUGUUGAGUGUAAAGUAUGAAUUAGAGUCAGAUCGAAGUCGAGAGCUAGCUAGGCUUCUCGAGAGAGUUAAAACUUUGGGCAUAAGGGCUAGGCUGUAUAUAUAACCCGUUUUAUGUAAAGUUUUCUGUUUUCUAAUAAAGUUCUUUUAAAAGAAAUUGAAUCAGAAUUGACGCAUUUUUAGUUUUGCAUUCAUUUCAUACAUUUACAUCACAUCGCAUCAUAUUCAUUAAGUUACACAAAAGAACCCUAUUAAUUAGUGAUAAUUUAUCUAGUUACCCUGGAACAUCGCUACUAUACACGGAGGAAAACAAGGGAUAUGGAUCAGAGGUUAGAGAAAUUAGAAUAAAGGCAGGAGCAACUGCAAGCUCAGAUGCAAGAACAGCUGGCUAGGAUCCAGCAGGAGAUGAAGGAUCAAAUGCUAGAGUCCUAGAAAAACAUGCUGGAGUCACAGAACAACAUGAUGAGCCAGCUAACAUAGCUGUUGAAUGGGGGUCUGACAAAGGAAAAUGCCAUAUGGGUGAUAGUGGGGACGACAAUGAAGACUCCACAUAUCCUCCUAGAUUUGCCCCAGCAAGUGCCCAACCACCCAAGAUGUCUGUUAAUAUUAGACCUCAGUAUCAAUCUGGUACUUCAGCACUAGGGAAUCUCCCAACAGGCUCAAGUUCUAAUCCGGACGAUAAUUUGGCAAAACCAACUGUCCCCGACCUCGACGAUGUUGAAGAAAAGGAAAAAGCAAGGGCUGAGCUCCCAAAACAAUUCGAAGACCGUUGCAAGUGGUUAGAGGAGAGGUUCAAGGCAUUAGAAGGUACAAAUUAUUAUUGCGGGGUUGAUGCUAAGGAAUUGAGUUUGGUACCGGACUUAGUACUCUCUCCGAAAUUCAAGAUGCCAGAAUUUGAAAGGUAUAAUGGAACCAGCUGCCCGGAGGCUCACAUUACAAUGUUCUACCGGAGAAUUACGGGGUAUGUCAACAAUGAUCAGCUGUUGAUUCACUAUUUUCAGGAUAAUUUGAUUGGGGCUGCGGUGAAAUGGUACAAUCAGUUAAGUUGUACCCAAAUCAAAUCGUGGAAAGACUUAGCUCAGGCCUUCAUGAAACAAUAUGGCCAUGUAACAGAUAUCGCGCCUGACAAGAUCACGUUACAAAACAUGGAGAAGAAACCGGGUGAAAGUUUUAGGAAGUACGCCCAGAGGUGGAGGGAAGUUGCCAUACAAGUUCAACCACCACUGCUGGAAAAAGAAACGACCAUACUGUUUAUCAAUACAUUGAAGGCACCUUUCAUCAAUCAUAUGCUGGGAAGCGCAACUAAGAGUUUCACAGACAUAGUGAUGUCAGGCGAAAUGAUAGAAAAUGCGAUAAGAUGUGGGAAGAUAGAAACAGGGGAAAGCACAAGAAGGUCAGCCCCAAAGAAAAGAGAAAAUGAGGUAGGUAAUGUGAGCUCAGGGUAUUCAAAACCUGUCACGGUUAACCAAUCGAGAACGAUAGCCACAGGCCAACAGGCCGCACCAAGGCGAGAGCCUAACACAAGACAGAAUACAGAGAGGUUCCAGUUCACUCCCAUACCAGUGACGUAUAGGGAGCUCUAAAAAAAGUUAUUUGAUGCACACGUAGUGGCCCUUUUUCACUUAAAACUGUUACAACCCCCAUACCCUAAAUGAUAUGAUGCAAAUGCUCAGUGCGAAUACCAUGCGGGGAUUACAGGGCACUCGAUAGAAAAUUGUACCUCGUUCAAAAAGUGUGUAGAAAGGCUUAUCAAAGCAGGUGUUGUAAAAUUCGAUGAUACACCUGGUACGGAAAAUCCGUUGCCCAGUCAUACUGAUAAAGGGGUAAAUGCGAUAAUUGAGAAUAUGGGGAGGAAAGUCAAGCUGAAUAUCGCGGAGGUGAGAACCCCAUUGAAGCUAGUUUGGAAGGAAAUACAGAAGAGAGGUUUAGUCCCGCAGGAGUUGAGGGAUAAAAUCCAAGAUACACGAAAUUACUGUGAGUUCCAUCAUGAGAAAGAUCACGAGAUCCAGAAUUGUAUUGAGUUCAGGGCCCUAGUACAAGGUCUAAUGGAUAAUAAGGAAUUGGAAUUCCUCGAGUCUAUCGAAGAGAAGGAUGUAUGCUCUCCAGGAGGAGAGUCGAGUGAAGAAGGCUGCAGAGCCAGCCGUCCAGUGAUAAUUAUUUCGAAACCCAGAGUUAGUGAAGUAGAAGCAAAAGUUACACCAAGAGUUAUAAUCCAGAAGCCAACAGUUUCCCCUUAUAAAGAUAGUCAUAGAGUGCCUUGGAAUUAUAAUUGUAGUAUAACAGUUGCAGAGAAGGAGGGUUCGAUUAACACACCAAACACAGAAGUCGAACCAGUAAAAGGGAAACCCGUCAUGCUCAAGCAAGAAGUAGAGAGAUUAGAACCACUAGUUAAUGAGCCAGUAAUGUUAAAUGAAGCCAAAGAGUUCUUGAAGUUCCUAAGACACAGCGGGUAUAGUGUUGUGGAACAACUACACCAGCAACUGGAUCGCGUAUCGAUUUUGGCUCUGCUGUUAAAUUCGGAGGUCCACCGUAACGCAUUAAUGAAAGUGUUGAACGAAACCUAUGUUGCGGAUGACAUUUCGGUUAACAAACUGGAUCGUCUUGUCGGCAGCAUAAGUGCUGACAAUUUUAUCUCCUUCAGCAAUGAUGAGAUACCAUCAGAGGGUAAGGGGUCUACUAAGGUUCUGCAUAUCACUACACGUUGCAAGGGGUAUACGCUACCCGGAGUACUAGUUGAUAAUGGGUCUGUAUUGAAUGUGUUGCCUUGGGUUACGUUAAACCGUUUACCUAUAGACAAUUCCCAUAUUAAGACGUGUCAGAACAUAGUAAGAGCAUUUGAUGGCACAGAAAAAAAGGUAAUGGGAAUGAUAGAGGUACCUCUUCAGAUUGGCCCAAACGCGUACGAGGUAGAUUUCCUCGUGAUAAAUAUUAAGCCUUCCUAUAACUGUCUAUUAGGAAGACCUUGGAUUCACUCAGCUGGGGCAGUGCCAUCCUCGCUGCACCAGAAGCUAAAGAUGGUUACUGGGGGUCGGCUAAUAACAAAAAAAAUCCGGAGGAGGACAUUAUUGCGUCAGUUACCAGUGAUGCACCCUACGUAGAGAAUGACAACGAAGCGGUUGAAUGUUUAUUUCGAUCGUUAGAGUUUGUAAAUGCAAUGUUUAUAGCUGAUGGAAGCAGGAUUCUGAUACCUAAGAUGUCAGGUGCUACGAAAAUGAGCCUGCAGCUCAUAGUUGGGAAAGGGGCGUUACUUGGUAAAGGACUCGGGAGGCACCUCCGUGGACAAGUUAGAGUGUCAGCCUUGGUUGGCAAGUGGGAUCGUUUCGGUUUUGGAUUCAGGCCAGAUGCAAGCCAAGUGAAGAAGGAGUUUGAAAGGAAACAAGAACAGCGGAGAGUAAGAUUGAGUGGGAUAGAAGUCAGGUGGGAACCGAUGAGCUUCCCCCACAUUUUCCAAACAUUUGUAUUAGGAAGAUUUAUUCAUUCUGCACCGGAGAGGAUAAAAGAAGGAAUGGUCGAGGAUGUGAUAGGAAUUUGGAACAUCAACGCCAUGUUUGAAGAGGAAGCAAUGGAAAGGAAUUUAUCGAGCAUUUGCCCGUAUGAGCCUGGGAGUGUUUUGAAUAACUGGACUGUGGAAGAAAUUCCUAUAAUCUUUAGAGCUAACACAGGGUAAUAUUCAAAACCCACUUGUUGUCUUCUAGCCUAGAGACAAUAAGAAUCUUUUGUGAAAUAGGCUCAUGUUUAAACAUUAUUAUUUUUAAUAAAAAAUGCAUUACAUAUAUCAGUUCGAGCAAUUAUUUUUUCUUCCUUUUCAUUUCAUAAACAAUCAUAACAUACAAAUGACUUAUUCAUUUCGUUUUCUUUGGGUAUUCCCUUAUACUCAUAAUAGGCCCCCAGAUGUCAACUUCAUGAGUAAUGCUGAUACGAGCCCGGAAUUUCCUUUCAAGCGAGACAUGUGCUUUGAGGGACUUCAGGAUUUUUUAGAGGACGAGGAUUGUAGUUUAUCUCCCGAUUUGUUAAGGAUAGUGGAGCGAGAAGAAGAGCAGAUCCUGCCACACAAAGAUACUACUGAGAUUGUGGCCCUGGAAAAAGGGAGGGAAGUUAAAAUUGGCACUUGCGUUAAUGAGAAAACAAAACAGAACCUUAUUGAGCUGUUGCAAGAAUUCAAGGACGUCUUUGCAUGGUCAUAUCAGGAUAUGCCUGGUUUAAGUACCGAUAUCGCAGUACACCGUGUCCCUACAAAAAAGGAGUACAAGCUAGUUUAGUAGAAGCUCCGAAGGAUGAGACCCGAUGUAGCAAUGAAAAUAAAGGAAGAAGUCAAGAAGCAGUUUAAUGCUGGACACCUACACGUGGUCAAUUAUUCAGAAUGGGUGGCCAAUGUCGUCCCUGUCCCUGAGAAAGAUGGGAAAGUACGGAUGUGUGUAGAUUACAGAGAUUUAAAUAAGGCCAGCCCAAAGGAUAACUUUCCAUUGCCUCACAUAGACACUCUAGUAGAUAAUACGGUAGGCUAUUCACUGUUCUACUUUAUGGAUGGGUUCUCUGGGUACAAUUAAAUUAAGAUGCAUCCUGAGGAUAUGGAAAAAACCACAUUCAUAACUUUAUGGGGAACGUUUUGCUACAAGGUGAUGCCCUUCGGGUUAAAAAAUACAGGAGCCACAUACCAAAGAGCCAUGGUAACCUUGUUUCAUGACCUGAUGUACAAGGAAAUUGAGGUCUACGUUGAUGAUAUGAUUGCAAAAUCCCGAACUGAAGAGGAGCAUGUGCGAGUGUUGAGAAAAUUGUUCCUGAGGAUGAGGAAAUUCCAAUUAAAGCUCAAUCCGUCAAAAUGCACAUUCGGAGCUAGGUCCGAAAAGUUACUCGGCUUCGUAGUCAGUGAGAAAGGAAUAGAAGUCGACCCUGAUAAAGUCAAGGCUAUUCAGGAGCUGUCACCGCCACGAACUCAGAAAAAAGUUCGAGGUUUUCUAGGGAGACUAAACUAUAUCGCACGAUUUAUUUCGCAAUUGACUGAGAAGUGUGACCCCAUAUUCCGUUUUCUUAAAAAGCAUAAUCCUGGGGUAUGGGAUAAUGAAUGCCAAAAAACCUUUAAAAAGAUUAAAUAAUAUUUGUCCAGUCCUCCAAUGCUAACACCACCAAGCCCUGGUAAACCAUUGAUACUGUACUUAACAGUAUUUGAUAAUUUGAUGGGGUGUGUGCUCCGCCAACACGAUGAGACUGGGAGAAAAGAAAGAGCUAUAUAUUACCUCAGUAAAAAAUUCACUGAGUGUGAAAUGAGGUAUCUGCCAGUUGAGAAGCUAUGCUGUGCUUUGGUUUGGACAACACGAAGGUUGAGGCAAUACAUGUUGUACCAUACAACUUGGCUAAUCUCAAAGUUAGACCCUCUCAAAUACAUGAUGGAAUCAACCACUUUAAAUGGAAGGAUGGCCCGAUGGCAGAUUCUGCUCUCUGAAUUUGAUAUAGUCUAUGUAAACCAAAAAGCUGUGAAGGGGAGUGCAAUAGCAAACUUCCUAGCCAUUAGAGCUUUGGAGGACUAUGAACCUUUGAAUUCCAGUUUCCCCAAUGAAGAUCUAAUGUAUGUAGCAAUCGCUGAAGGAGACAUGUCUGAAGAUCAUUCUUGGAAAUUAAAUUUUGACGGAGUAUCAAAUGCCGUUGGAAAUGGAGUUGGGACAGUACUAAUAUCCCCAAAUGGAGACCAUUAUCCAUUCACUUGUAAGCUGGAUUUUGAAUGCACAAACAACAUGGCAGAAUACGAGGCAUGUAUCAUGGGAAUUCGGGUAGCUAUAGACCGCGAAAUCAAAGUAUUAGAAGUGUAUGGAGAUUCCGCAUUGGUAAUUUAUCAGUUUAAAGGUGAGUGAGAAACGAGAGAUCCCAAAUUGAUCAGUUACCGAAAGUUAAUCCUGGAGUUAAUUGAAGAGUUUGAUGAUAUUACCUUUCAUUACCUCCCGCGAGACGAGAAUCAGAUGGCUGACGCCUUGGCUACACUGGCUUCCAUGAUCAAAGUAAAUAAACAGGAGGAUAUGAAGCCAAUUCAAAUGAGUAUCUGUGAGGCUCCGGCUCACUGCUGUAAUAUCGAUGAAGAGGAAGAGAGAGAUGAUCAUCCUUGGUAUCAUGAUAUCUUACAAUAUGUGAAGAGCCGUGCGUACUCAGAUCAAGCAACCGAAAAUGAUAAAAGAAUAUUGAGGAGGUUAGCCAGUGACUAUGUCCUGGACGGUGAGGUCCUAUAUAAGAAAAGAAAGGAUCAGGUGUUGCUAAGAUGUGUUGACGCUGUUGAGGUAAAGAAAAUUCUAGAGGAAGUCCAUGAUGGCAUCUGUGGGACGCAUGCCAAUGGUUUUACAAUGGCUCGACAAAUCAUGAGAUUCGGAUAUUACUGGUCCACAAUGGAAGGAGAUUGCAUCAAUUACGCUAAGAAGUGCCAUAAGUGUCAAAUUUAUGGAGACAAGAUCCAUGUCCCUUCUUCACCCCUCCAUGUUAUGACUUCCCCAUGGCCAUUCUCAAUGUGGGGUAUGGACGUCAUUGGGCCAAUUUCGCCAAAGGCUUCCAACGGACAUCGAUUCAUUUUUGGGGUCAUUGACUACUUUACCAAAUGGGUGGAGGCUGCUUCGUACGCCAAUGUCACAAAGUCGGUGGUCAGCAAGUUCUUGAAGAAGGAGAUCGUAUGUCGUUAUGGUAUGCCAGAAAGAAUCGUAUCUGACAACGCAUUGAAUCUGAACAAUAGCGCAAUAGCAGAAGUCUGCAGUCGGUUCAACAUUAAACAUCACAACUCGUCGACAUACCGCCCAAAAAUGAAUGGGGCGGUUGAGGCAGCCAAUAAGAAUGUCAAGAAGAUUGUAGGGAAAAUGGCGGAGACCUACAAAGAUUGGCAUGAAAAGCUCCCAUUUGCCCUUUAUGCUUAUCGGACAUCUGUCAGAACUUCUACCGGGGUAACACCUUUCUCAUUGGUUUAUAGGAUGGAGGCAGUUUUACCUAUUGAGGUCGAAAUCCCUUCUCUCUGAUUUUUAUUAGAGUUGAAGUUAGACGAAGCAGAAUGAAUCAAAUCUCGUUACGAUCAACUAAACUUGAUUGAAGAGAGGAGGCUGAAGGCUAUUCGUCAUGGUCAAAUGUACCAGAGGAGAAUGAUGCGAGCUUACAACAAAAAAGUUCGCCCUAGGGUGUUCCAUGAAGGGGACUUAGUAUUGAAAAAGAUUCUCCCUAUGCAAAAAGAUUUCAGGGGGAAAUGGAUGCCAAAUUGGGAAGGACCCUAUGCGGUAAAAAAAGGCUUUCACUAGAGGGGCAUUGAUACUAGCAGAGAUGAAUGGCAAGAGCUUGCCUAACCCGAUAAAUUUGAAUUCUGUCAAAAGAUAUUUUGCUUUAAGCAGUUGAGGUGAAAACCCGUAAAGGGCGCCAAAAAAAAUAAAAAAAAAUAAAAUAAAAAAGAAAAAAGGGAGAGGCCAAGGUGAAAACCCGUAAAAGGGCGCUUUGAAACAAAAGGGGUUUUGAAUUGAAAACCCAUAAAGGGCAAUUCAAAAAUUGAUCCAGACUGGGGCAAGUAGUAGUCUCGUUACACUAGAAUCGACAAAGAAGGGAUCGACUACAUUUUGGGGCAUCGACAAAUGCUAUAGAUCCCUUGAGCACAUGUCAAGUGUAGAAUGGUCUUCGAGUAGUUUGUUCAGAGAAGCUCAAACUGCGAAAUCUGGAGCACCUAUUUGUUCUUUUUAUCCAUUUUUUUUUCAAAUAAUCAAUGCUUUCUUUCUUUAGUACAUCUUUCGUAAGCUAGAACUCGAACAAAUUUCAGUUCCAUUUACCCUUAUGAUCUUUUUCAAGCGUUUUAUAUUGAAAUAAUGAUUAAUGAACUAACAAUGUUCUCAAAAGAGGUUUUACGUAUUACUUUGAAAGAUUUCUAAACAAUACAAGAUUCUGAAAUAGGACAAUUAUUUAAAACUCACCAGGCUUAAAGAGCUAGAAACGUGUGAAGGAAAAAGGGACUUACAGUAUCCUCAAGCCCUCUUUUAUCAAGCUGGAUGAGAAGGCAUACGUCAAGGAUGUUACCAUAGCAAACAACGAGCGAUAACAGCCUAAAAAUUUAAAUGAUCAUUCUCAUGACAUUUUGCAUUUAUGCAUUUAAAUAUCCAUAAGACAUCUAGUUAGGAGCAUUUGAUUAAUCAUGGCAUCCUAAACAUCUAGCAUAAGCAUAAAAUCACUAUUCUACAGAUAGGAUCCCCUAGCGGACAAUGUAGCAGGAUUGAUUAAAAAGACAGAUAUCAUCAGCCUUAUCUUUACUGAGCAGGAGUGGAGCAGGUUAAACAUACCCGAUCUUAUCUUCACUGAGCAGGAGUGAAGCAGAUCGAGUUUUGAAGAAUCUUAUCUCCACGUACCGGCGAUGGAGCAGAUUCCAAUCAUCAACCUUAUCUUCACUGAGUAGGAGUGGAGCAGGCUAAAUAUACCAGAUCUUAUCUUCAUUGAGCAAGAGUGAAGCAGAUCGAAUUUUGGAGAAUCUUAUCUCCACGUACCGGCGAUGGAGCAGAUUCCAAUCAUCAACCUUAUCUUCACUGAGCAUGAGUGGAGUAGGCUAAAUAUACCAGAUCUUAUCUUCAUUGAGCAGGAGUGAAGUAGAUCGAAUUUUGGAGAAUCUUAUCUCCAUGUACCGGCGAUGGAGCAGAUUCCAAUCAUCAACCUUAUCUUCACUGAGCAGGAGUGGAGCAGGCUAAAUAUACCAGAUCUUAUCUUCAUUGAGCAAGAGUGAAGCAGAUCGAAUUUUGGAGAAUCUUAUCUCCACGUACCGGCGAUUAAAUAGAUUCCAAUCAUCAGCUUUAUCUUCGCUGAGCAGGAGUGGAGCAGGCUAAAUAUACCAGAUCUUAUCUUCGCUGAGCAGGAGUGGAGCAGACCAAAUUUCGGUGAAUCUUAUCUCCAUGGAUCGACAAUGGAGCAGAUUUCAGCCACCAAUCUUAUUUUCACUAAGCAGGAGUGGAGCAGAUCAGAUUUCAGCAGAUCCCACCCCACUGAACAGGAAUGGAAUGGAUCAAGUUUCAAUAAAUCGUAUAUCUACAAAGCAGUAAUGAAGCAUUUGGAAGUAAUAGGAUGCAAUGGGUUAAAACGAGGCUACUUGAAGAAAAGAGGCAAUCAAGAAGUCAAGACAUGAUGGGGCCAGGAAAAAUUGGCCCUUCUAAGUCUUUGCUCUAUUCUCUUUACACGACAAUGAGCAAAGAGGGGCAGCUGUUGGACCAAUUUUCUUUGCCUAGCCCACUAAUCAAACCCAUUAACCACUAGCCCAAUCCUAUAACCCAAAACAGGCCAAAACCAAAACAAAAUCCACCCCAAAUACCCCCAUCCCCACGUGCCUCCACCAUCCACUGCACCUCCGAGACGUGUGCUGUAAUAUCCUGAAUUAGGGCCUAAUCGGAAUAGUGGUUUCGUGACCACAAAUAUGAGAUAGAAAUAAUUAUUUUAUAAUUAUUUUGAUGAUUAUGAUAGGAUUGCAUGAUUGUGUGAAAAUUUCGUGAUGAAAUUCUAUGCCUAAAGUGCUUAAAUUGAAAGUAGGGACUAAAUCGAAUAAGUUGCAAAACUUGCAUUCUAGAAGUUUUUAGUAUGAAAUUGUUUUGGAAUAUUAAUGAGGAGGUAUUAAAUAGCAAUUUGACCAAUUUUAAGUUCAUGGACAAAAUUAGGAUAUGGAAGGAAUUUUUGGAAAGUUUAGUAGUAAGGGUAUUUUGGUCAUUUAGUUAUUAAAAUGAAUUAAAAACAAAAUUAAAAGCCAAUUUUUGUCCAUCUUCUUCAUUAGGCCGAAAUUUCAAGGGUUCUCCAUAGCUAGGGUUUGUUUCAAGCUUCCAAGCUCCAUAGUAAGUGAUUCCAAGCCCCGUUUUUAAUGUUCUUUACGUUUUUGGAAUCCCGGUAGCUCGAUUAAGCUUAUGUUAGCAAUAAUUCAACCUAGGGUUUAUAUUUGGAAAAAUACCCAUAGGUGAAAUUUGUGUAUUUUGAUGUUUUAUGAUAGAAUAUGGGGUUUUAAAUUAUGUUAAACAACUUGUGCUACUCGGUUUUUAGUGAAAACGAGUAAAAGGGCUUAAUCGGCAAAAAUACCUAAUAGUCACAAGUAUAUGUUAGAGAGAGAAUUUGAUGUUGCCAUAGAAGGGAAAAGUGAUCAGCAUGUUAUAAAACAUAAGAAUAAGGAAUAAAGUUUAAUUCCCGAGCCUAGGGGCAAAAGUGUAAUUAUGCAAAAGUUUAAGGGCAAAAGUGUAAUUUUUCCAAAGUUCGUAUUAAAUGCUGUUUUGAUGAAUGUAUGUAUUAAAUAAGAUUAAUUUGGCAUCAUAGAUCAAGAGAAACGAGAUUCAAGUCGCGAUCGAGGAAAAGAAAAGAUUGUGGACUAAAUUGCAAAAUCUUUAUAUUUUGGUACCAAGGUAAGUUCAUGUGUAAAUAAUGUAGCAUAAUUUUUAUUUUUAAGUUAUUGAUAUUAAUUAUGUGUUAUGCUGAAUUUCAUUAUGAAAUGUAUGCUUUGUGGUUAAUUUCAAAUAAUAUGUAAAUUAUGUGAGCUACUUGUUAAAUAUAAUUGUUACCGAGUAUUGAUUUCGGCAUUCUACGGAAGACGGCAAGGAUAAGUGUUCGAGGAAAAUCCCAUUUGAACCUUAGGAAUAGAUUAGGAUACAAGUGACAUGUCACUAGGAUGGUUGAGCAUCCGAACUCGUUGAGUUGAGUCCGAGUUCACUUAUGGAUGCGAAUGUCCGAACUCGUUGAGUUGAGUCCGAGUUCGUGAGAUGUAACUAGGCAUCCGAACUCGUUGAGUUGAGUCCGAGUUCACUUAUGGAUGCGAACGCCCGAGCUCGUUGAGUUGAGUCCGAGUUCGCUUAUGGGCGGGUUACAUGAUUGCUUGAUUGAAUAUGUGGCACUUAUAUGCAAAUUAUCCAUGUAUCCGAAUUAUAUUCCGAUGUGUUCAACGGGUAAAGUUUUACUCAAAUGGAGGAAUACUCGAGAUGAAAAGAGACGUAUUGGUAAGUGAUGAGAAAUGGAUAUUUUGGACAGGUAUGUAUUUAACCCUCGGGUUGAGUGUUGAUUACAACCACGAUAAGGUAAUAAGAUGAUGAAAAAUGAUUAAAAAAUGUGAUAAGUGUGUUGAUGAUAUAUGUUAAUGUUGAUUAGUUUGAUUGUUUGUUAUGUUAUUUAUUAUUUACAUAUGAACUUACUAAGCAUUUAUGCUUACUCCCUCCUUCUUACUCAUUGUAGUUUUGGACAAGCCAGUUCAGGAGUCGGGAUAGGUCGAAGGCUCAGUCACACUAUCCGGAAGAUUUUUGGUAAAUGGCUUGUAAAUUUAAGUAUGGCAUGUAUAACAAUAUACUUAUUUUGUGUAAAUGAUCUUAUGAUAUGGUGACAGAAUGGUUGAGAAAAUAUUUGAUAAUGAUAAAUUAUGAAAAUGGUAAGUUUAGAUUAUGUUUGACGAUAAGGAAAAUUAUUAAGAUACUUAGUGCAUAAAAACUCAUAAGAGGGAUGAAAUUUGCCAUAAACAGAAUACUGCAGCAACACUGACGCGAGUUUGAAAAUUUACUAAAAAUCAUAGAAAUUGAAUUUGGUGAUGGACUACAUAUAAAAUUUAAGCUUGUUAUGUCUAGUUUCACAUGAAACAAAUGAAACAGGUAAAGGAAUUAUAUGUUAGAAGAUAUUUGAAUUUUAGUGAAACAGGGUCAUAGCAGUUUCUGAAUCCUCUGUUCCUACUUUAGAAAUUCACCAUAAAUUGUAAAGCUAUAAUUAGGUGGUUUAUUUUAUAUCCUCAGAAUCCUUAUUGAGUCUAGUUUUAGUAUAAACAAACCUCAUAGUCAUAUGAAUUUUGUACAGAGAGAAAUGUGGUUCGUAGUAAACAGAGGUCAGACCAGUCAAGUCCUGAAAUAGGGGUAACUUUAACUAAUAAACUGUACUAAUUGGCCCUACCAAAAAUUUUAUAAAAAAAUUAGUAGAUAGGUAUAUGAGUCUAGAUUCAGGGAAAAUUUACGGAUCUUGAUUUCGAGUUUCGUAACUCGAGAUAUGAUUUUUCUUGUGACUGUGACGCAAGUAGCUUAAAAGCUGUGAAUGUAGAAACAAAUAAUCCAAAGUUCUAAAAAUGUUAAAUUAAGCUUAGUAACACCUCAUACUCGACUCCGGCGACGGUCUCGGGCGUGGGGGCGUUACAUGCGCUACCAGCAGUCCCUCUUUGUCACGCCUUGUGCUUCCGAGAUAUCCGCAACAACACCUGUAACAGGAAGCAAACAGAUAGCAACCAAUAGAAGAGUUUAUUUGUUUUUCUAGGCUAUAAAAGCCAUUUUAAACAUUGUAAACGGGGCUCUUUCUUUUUUUUUUGCUCAUUAUAUGAGUACACUAGCAGAAAUUAUAGAGAAAAGAUCGGAAGUAAAUCAAAAAUCUAGUCUCAGGAUUGAAAGGUGAUUUUUCAUUCUUCUUCCUGUAACUUUUUUGAUUUGUAUUUUUUCCCUUUUUUUAUUUUGUUUAUAGACUGAUUUUAAGUAAAAAGAAAGAAAGGAGGGCUUACCCGGUCGUGAUCCGUGAACCGGUGAUGAGGUGGAGGUGCGUGGCACCGAUGAUCCUCGAGGGUGGCGCAAACUAGGUUGAACUCCUAGCAAAAAUAGAGAGGGAGCAAGGAAGAAGAAGCAUUCUGCUUCUUUUUUGAAAAACACUAGAAAUAAAAAAUAAAAUUGGUUCUUAAAAAUGGCAGAUGCCAUUCAAUAGCUUUUAGAGUGGUGGGGCCCACAUUUUGCCCUUAAAGGGUCAAUUUAUGCACUAAGUCCUUGUGCAUUUUCUUGCUGCCCAAAUCUGCUUCACUUUUGUUUUUGAAUUUCACCCAGCAAUUUUGUGCAGAUUUUAAUUUGGUCCAUAUUAAAUGCUAGGUUCAAGAAUUUGGGAAAAUUACAUUUUUAAACCCCCUUGUUCCACGCGCGCUCCAAUGAGAUCCUCCCUUCCCCUUUUAUUUAUGUUUUACCCUAGAACUUCCGUUGUGAUUCCAAUUAAGCCCUAUUUUGUUUAUUUUAGACACUUUUAUCACAAAUUUUUUUUUGGUAUUAUUAUUAAUCUAUUAUUACUUUUUUUUACUAUCAUUUUUUAAAUUAUUUUCCUAUUAUUUAUUGUAUUAUUUUUUUACACUAUUAUUUAUUAUGCUUAUUAUAUUAUUUUCAUUAUUUUUUAUUUAUUUUCAUUUAAUUUAAUCAAUUUGAGUUAUGUUUUACAUUAUUAUAUCAUUUUAUAUUACAUGCUUAUUAUAGUUUUUUUUUAGCAAAGUUAAUUAUUUUAUGUAUAAAUCUUCAUCAUAUUUAUUAUAUUAUUUGUUAUAUUAUUAUUUUUUACUAAUAAGUAUUUUUAUACUAUUUAGUUUUUUUAAGCUCAUAAUUUUAAAUAUAGCUUAUUAUACUUCUUAUUUUCUUCAUUAUUUUUACUAUUUACUACCAUUUUUUUAUUACUUAUAACUUAUAUAUAUACAUUUUUUUCCCCUAAAAGUUUUUUUCCUUCAAAUAUAUUCUUUAAUGGACUUAUCAUAUUGUUUUUUAUAUACACCAUUUUUUAUCAGUUAUUUUAUACUAAAUUAUUAUUAUUUAUUACUCCUCACUAUAUAUUGUUAUUGAUUUCAUAUUGCUUGCUGUCCAUAUUCUUUUAUAUAUAUAUAUGUAUUAUAUUUUAUUCAUACAUUUGUUUCUUUUAAAUUCCAUUUCAAAGUAUACCUCGGUCUUCAAAAUAUUUUCUUAUGUUAUUUUGCAUAUAUAUUCAAUUUAAAUUAUGCCUUUUACUUUAUAUGCAUAUCUUCUGAUCCUGUUAUGAUUUAGUCGUAUUAUAUUGUUGCAUUAGAUUAUUGUUAUAUAUUUCACAAUGGCAUUCCUGUUUCCUUAUAUGGUAUAACGACUCAAAUUUAAACUCACUUAAGCCAGUUCUUAGUUUUUUCGUUUUUUUCAAAAAAUAAAUUAAAUAAAUACAUUUUUUAAUUGACUUUAGAUCGUUUUCGAAAGUCUUAUAAAACAAGGCAAUGUUUUGCGUUUGGAAGUCCGAAAGAGUCAUGCCCUAACGUGCUGGGUUGUGGUUUUUUUCGGUCAUCUAAAUGUUUAAAUAUCCUUCUAGUCUCAGGUUUCGAAAAAUUAAGGGACUAUUUGGGUCUUGAGGGUUAAAAUGUUGCAUCCUAAUGUGCUGGGUGUGACAUUUUGUCCUUUUGGAACAAAUAAGCCUUAAUAUCCCAAAACGAACCGUUCAAAUAUUUUCUAAAAGAAUUAUAUUUUAAAAUCUCUUAAAAUUUUCAACAAUGACAUUAUUAAUCAAUUUGGUAUCGAUUUUGGGCGUUACGAGGGUGCUAAUCCUUCCUUGUACGUAAUUGAUUCCCGAACCUGUUUUCUUAACAUUCAUAGACCAAAAUGCUUUAUAAGGUGACCCAAUUAC
rnacentral:lncRNA from 1 species